rnacentral:rRNA from 1 species
GGGCCCGCACAAGCGGUGGAGCAUGUGGUUUAAUUCGAUGAUACGCGAGGAACCUUACCAGGGCUUAAAUGUUAGGUGACAGAUCUAGAAAUAGAUUUUUCUUCGGACACUUAACAAGGUGCUGCAUGGUUGUCGUCAGCUCGUGCCGUGAGGUGUCAGGUUAAGUCCUAUAACGAGCGCAACCCCUGUCGUUAGUUACCAGCAAGUAAUGUUGGGUACUCUAGCGAGACUGCCGGUGCAAACCGUGAGGAAGGUGGGGAUGACGUCAAAUCAUCACGGCCCUUACGUCCUGGGCUACACACGUGCUACAAUGGCCGGUACAGAGAGCAGCCACUACGCGAGUAGGAGCGAAUCUUCAAAGCCGGUCUCAGUUCGGAUCGCAGUCUGCAACUCGACUGCGUGAAGCUGGAAUCGCUAGUAAUCG